UGUGGCGGGUGCAACCGGCUAGUUCAUCCUGCUGAGCUGUAGUUGAUCCGAUCUGCCUCCGGAUUGUCCUCAGUUGUGAUCCUGAGCUGUGGAGCUAAGUGGCGCUUGGACUGCGGCUGCCGAGUAGGUACGAGGCCCGGGGACUGCGGCGCCUCUCGCGGUCUCGGCUCCUGCGGCCGCGCUCCCUGGAGCCCCUGCCGGCCUCCAGGCGCCUCGCCGUAGCACCUUGCUUAGAGGAGGGCAGAGGAGGUGGUGCGGGCGGGGGCGCGGGCGGACCCUGGGACCCUGGGGCGCUCUGGGACGCGGCGGCAGAGCCUAGGCGGGAAGAGGAGACUGUGGGGGCAAGAACGUGCUUGAAAAGCCUUUUUAAAACCCCCUUUGCCCAGAAAACGUCUUUAUUGAACACUGUUUAAUUCAGGUUUAUUAGACACUAGGCAGUGCGUAGUUCACGGGGUUCACCGCGAUGUUAUUUGCUUUUACUUACAGUAUCCUGUCAGGAAUUUGUUUGGGCACAUUUUCCUAAGUGACAAGUGGAUCGAGCACAGUGACUGAUGACUCACCUUUGUCUGGGAUGAAGUGGGGAGGGAAGGGUGAAAGGAAUACGGGAGGAAUGUUUGGACGAUGCCCGUGCAGGUUUGAGAAUACAACGGGCAGGAGUAGAAUUGUGGUUUUCUCCUGUCUGUCUGUCUCUGUCUUUCUGCCUCUCCGUCUCUGUCUCUCUGUCGCUCUCCUUUCUUUUUCUUUUUCUUCUCCUCCAACCAACAACAUUACAACAGAAAAGGCUUUAUAAAAAGCAGACUGUGGAUUUUAGGCUUCAGGACUGCACCUGCUACUCCUGUAGUAAUACGUGAAUACUUGGCAGACAAAUCCUAGGCAAUUUAUCACGUGGUUGGAUGUUCUUAGGAAGCAAUACCUCGAAUGGCUGUUAACUUUUCUUUAACCUGCCCAGUCUGCCAUAUGUCCACAGGGGAAAAGAUGCCGGUCAUUGAGGUUUAGAGGGUUUGCAUCCGUGGUGCAAUGGUGUCUUUUGAAGUUCUGUCUUUUUGCCUAGGUGCACACAGGUUACACUUGCCAGUUACAGGGGAAGGCUGUGCAGAGUAUGCCCAUUUUACAGUCACAAGAACUUUCAGGCAUUGCGGCAAAGGAAACUAUUGUCGGGACUCUUGACUGCCGCUUCACUUGGAAUCUGGUUUAGGUUCUAAUUAUUGAGCACAGUACAGGAUCAGAAAUGGUUAUCUUCAAGAAAUACUGUCUCAUAGUUUUUCCAAGCUGCUACUAAGACAGUUUGAAAGUUCCCAGGAAGGUAAUUUCCCACACGGGCAAAAGAAAACAAGUGGAAUUGAUUGCGCUUCAUGAGACUCUGACUGAAAUGUUCUGGGCGGGGCCUUUUGCAAACUCAAGAGCUCCAGGCUUGCAUACCUCGUCCAGCUGUGACUUCAGGUGUUUUGGAAUUGGUCUGAAAUAUAACUGAAGUAUCAAGUAUAAGAUGACUUUUGAGGAAGUCUUUACAAUUAUUGAAGGGUUGAAAAUGUAGCAGUUUUUUUUUUAAAUUUUUUAAAAUUAGAAUGACUCAAGAGUUUAAGGGGUCAGUAUGGGCUGAUGUCAGAUUGGGGAACUCGCUGGCUGUUAGGUUUUGUUAAAGAAAUUAGGAACAUUGACAUGUCUCAUGACAUUUCUUAUUAUGUUCUUAUUUUGAAGUAAUCCUUUCUGUCUUUUGUAAUGCACCAUGGUAUGUUUCAGGUAGACUACAUUUGAUGUAACUUACUUGUGAAAUACAAGAUAACCGUAUACAAGUUAAACCCUGCAUUUCAUCCAUAUGUCUGCCCCUUCCCUUCUUUUCUACCCUGACUGUGUUUGAAACAGGGUUUUUAUGUAGCCCAGACUGGCCUUGAAUUUGAAGUGAUCCUCUUGCCUUUGCCUCCCGAGUGCUGCAAUUACAGACUUGGGCUGCUGGGUCAGGCUCACUCUUCUUGUUUUGGUGCAUAACAUCGUCAACUGAAAAUUUGAAGCAAAAGUUUCUGUGAUAAAAACCUUGCAUCUGUUAUUCUUAAAGCCGGAAGCGCUUCCUUGUGCCCAGUUCUCCUGAAUAUGGGAACUGGAGAUAGAUUUUCCUGUUUCUACCCAAUCUCUCCCCACUAUAGAUUGGCAGGUUUCUCCAGAAUUAUCUAGGAUACUAUACAAGCUGCCCUGCAUGGCGUACCUGGUGCCACUAUGGACAGCUUCCCUACUGUAAUGUUGUCAUUCUUUCUACUCUUACUGUCAUGCUGUACACAGUUUAGUGAUGGGGAGGCAUGUGGGGAGGGGCAGCUGCUCUUUCCACGGCAGUGAAUGACUUCAGGGAGGUUGAUGAAAUGAGCUUAUUCUGAAGAGUAGGGUGUUUAAUUUAAAGUGAUGAAAUUUUGAGCGCGUUCAUAAAUAACCUCUACUGUGGGCUUCCUGGUUCUCCUCAUAGUCAGUAACCCAGAGCAGAGGGAAGAUUUAUUGCUCUGUGUUUGUGUAAGCUUGAGCUUUCAAAAAAUGGCUGUGCUUUGCUGACAAUUUAUAUAAACAAGGACUAAGCUAUUUGAGGGUACCUUGGCUUUUUUUUUUUUCCUUCCUUUUUUCCUUAGGUUGGUUUUUUAAAAGAUGUGGCAAAGUACUUGUGGUAAGACUGUGUGCCACUCAUUGUGAAUAGAUGCUUAGGUAAGGCUUCCCUCCAGAGCUGUGAAAGUGUUUUCCUUGUGCAGUCACUUAAUACAUUUUUCUACACUUUGCUUCAUUAGGAGAGAUGAACGAGGGUUUUCCUCUCUCUGUGACUGGAACUCUUAGCUGGCCUUGCUGUUGAUUGUAUUGCUUUUUAUUCCUUGCUUCAGCAGGGGGAUGAGUAAACACGGUCCUUUGGAUAAAGCAGUUCUUAAUUUAGAUAAGAUGUCGUGGACUACCAGGUACACUUCUUAUACAGUGUAAAUGGCACCUGAGUAGCUGUUAGACUACUCGGUGUUCCUUAGGGAAUGAAUACAACUAAGAUGUCCAGUCUGCCCCCAGCUUCCCUCAUCUAUAGCUGGUUGAGUCCUUGGAUAGGAAAAUAUACCAGUUGCAGAGGUCAACUGUACUUGACCACUUUUUUUUUUUCCAGACAUGGGUUGUCCUAAAAAAUUUAAAUUACAUUUAUAUAGUCAUCCAUAACUCUUCCACUUGCUUGCACAUACUUGCCACAGUGAGGGGUAGAGGUCAAAGCAGAAGUGGGGCUGCUUCUCCAUGUGGGUUCCAGGGGUCCAACUCAGUUCCUUAGGCUUGAUGGCAAAUGCCCUUAUCCACCGACCAUCUCAUGGACCCUGUGACGUGUCCUUCUUGUUUCCUAGUGUGGCACAGUCAGAAUAAAGAGUAGGCCUUUUGUUUUUUUUUUUCUUUUUCUUUUUCUUUUUCUUUUUCUUUUUCUUUUUCUUUUUCUUUUUCUUUUCCUUUUCCUUUUUCUUUUUCUUUUUCUUUUUCUUUUCCCUUUCAGGGUCGAGAAGAGAAGCUGAUGAGAAUUGGGGUCUGUGGGUAGUGAGGAAAUAAAUUGACAUUAUUUUGAAAUAUGCAUUACGCCAUUUGCAUUAGGACAAAACCCUAUAUCUGGGGUUUUUCAAAAUGGUGAUCAUUUCACCCUUCAUGCAAAGUAGGCUAGUGAUUUUCAAGCUCUGAAGUCAUGUACAGGUGUUGUGAAAAUGUGGCCUGCUACCCUGGCCCAGAGAUUCUUGAAGUUCUGGUAAGUUCAAGGUAAUGUGGUGCUGCUGACACAGUGAAAAACAUUGAAUGAAUCCCAGAGGAGAUACAAGUACUAUUGCUGGUACAGUCUUUGGAGUUUGAAAGAUGUUGACUUGAGUCUCAGCCUUGCCAAUUCCUAGGGACAGUGCUUCAGGCCAGUUAACAGUUAACAUACACACACACACACACACACACACACACACACACACACCCUCUGGUAAUUUCAUGCAUGAAUACAGUGCAAUUAGACCCUCUGCAUCCCACUUUGCUCUUCUAAGUCCAUUUGGAUCCCCAACUUCAUUUCUGUCUCCUCUUCCUCCUUCCUAAUGAGUCUGGUGAGUGCUGCCUACAUGUGCAUGGAUGGAUAUGAGGUCAUACACUGGCAGCCUUCCAGGGGCCGUAUCCCUGAAGAAAACAGUCUCCCCUCAUCCCUAAGCACCUCAGCUGGGGGUGGGGUGAGGUGGGUGGGUUCUUGCCAGCUUCUUCCCUGUUCAUGUUGGAGCGCUGAUUGGCUUAAUCUUCUGUAGGUCUUUCUCAUGACUGCAGUGUCCUGCCAUGUCCUCAGGUUUUCAACUCUAAAGUAUGAAUACUAGUAUGUUAUGUUGGUUUUAAGUUAAUAUUAAGUUAACCUUCGUGCUCCUAGAAUUGUGUUUAGCAGGUGACAAGCAUGCAAUAAGGGUUGGCUUUUUAGUCACAGAAAGCAGUUAGGGUAUGAAACAGUGAGACUCCCAAAUCUUAUAAAUUGAAGGAAGAUCCUUAAGACAGGGAAUUUUAUAUUUAUCCUUAUUUCCAUGCAUUGUGGAAUAAUAUGUGAACUUAAUUACUGUUUCUUGACUACAGG
rnacentral:lncRNA from 1 species